UACAGAGGGGGCAAGCGUUGUUCGGAAUUACUGGGCGUAAAGGGUUUGUAGGUGGCUUGCUAAGUCAGACGUGAAAUCCCUCAGCUUAACUGGGGAACUGCGUCUGAGACUGGCGAGCUUGAGUGCAGGAGAGGAACGCGGAAUUCCAGGUGUAGCGGUGAAAUGCGUAGAUAUCUGGAGGAACACCGGUGGCGAAGGCGGCGUUCUGGACUGCAACUGACACUGAGAAACGAAAGCCAGGGGAGCAAACGGG
rnacentral:rRNA from 1 species